GACGAACGCUGGCGGCGUGCCUUACGCAUGCAAGUCGAACGGCAGCACGGGUGCUUGCACCUGGUGGCGAGUGGCGAACGGGUGAGUAAUACAUGGGUGAUCUGCCCUGCACUUCGGGAUAAGCCUGGGAAACUGGGUCUAAUACCGGAUAGGACUCCGGACUGCAUGGUCUGGGGUGGAAAGCUUUUGCGGUGUGGGAUGGGCCCGCGGCCUAUCAGCUUGUUGGUGGGGUGAUGGCCUACCAAGGCGACGACGGGUAGCCGGCCUGAGAGGGUGACCGGCCACACUGGGACUGAGAUGCGGCCCAGACUCCUACGGGAGGCAGCAGUGGGGAAUAUUGCACAAUGGGCGCAAGCCUGAUGCAGCGACGCCGCGUGAGGGAUGACGGCCUUCGGGUUGUAAACCUCUUUCAGCAUCGACGAAGCGAAAGUGACGGUAGGUGCAGAAGAAGGACCGGCCAACUACGUGCCAGCCGCCGCCGUAA
rnacentral:rRNA from 1 species